GACGAACGCUGGCGGCGUGCCUAAUACAUGCAAGUUGAGCGCUGAAGGUUGGUACUUGUACCAACUGGAUGAGCAGCGAACGGGUGAGUAACGCGUGGGGAAUCUGCCUUUGAGCGGGGGACAACAUUUGGAAACGAAUGCUAAUACCGCAUAAAAACUUUAAACACAAGUUUUAAGUUUGAAAGAUGCAAUUGCAUCACUCAAAGAUGAUCCCGCGUUGUAUUAGCUAGUUGGUGAGGUAAAGGCUCACCAAGGCGAUGAUACAUAGCCGACCUGAGAGGGUGAUCGGCCACAUUGGGACUGAGACACGGCCCAAACUCCUACGGGAGGCAGCAGUAGGGAAUCUUCGGCAAAGGACGAAAGUCUGACCGAGCAACGCCGCGUGAGUGAAGAAGGUUUUCGGAUCGUAAAACUCUGUUGGUAGAGAAGAACGUUGGUGAGAGUGGAAAGCUCAUCAAGUGACGGUAACUACCCAGAAAGGGACGGCUACUACGUG
rnacentral:rRNA from 1 species